UAUUGGUCCCCUCGCGACGAUAGAUUGUGAACCCCGUCAGGCCCGGAAGGGAGCAGCGGUAGCAGUUGAUGCGG
rnacentral:SRP_RNA from 1 species